ensembl:lncRNA
AUGUGUUUUUGUCUUUGUUCUAGAAAAAAAAACACUUUAGAAAGUUCUGAUGACGAAACAGACAUUGAGAUGAAGCGACAAUAUGAAAAAGCAAAAAGACAAAAAAAAGUUGCAAAAGAGAGGAUCCUCACUCAGUUGAAGGAUACACUGAGGAAACCACUCCACUCCACUCCAUGCAGAACCAAUCCAUUACAUAGUGAGGAGGAAGUUGAAUCCGAAACGGUGGACACAAACGUGGAUUUGUUCAAUUACCCAGGGAAUUCUCAAUCAACCGUAUGUCGUUUCAAACCCUAAGCAAUGAACACAAACUUUUGGACUGCGUAGUCAACCUAAUGUAUUUUUAAAAGUAAUGUUUAGGCAGAUAAUACAAAUUAUA